rnacentral:rRNA from 1 species
AGCGAACGCUGGCGGCGUGCCUAACACAUGCAAGUCGAACGGGAAAGGGAGCAAUCCCAAGGCAAGUGGCGUGCGGGUGAGUAACACGUAGGUAAUCUACCCCAGAAUCUGGAAUAACCGGCCGAAAGGCGGGCUAAUACGGGAUAGAGCGACGGAAUCCGUAAUUGGGUUUUGCGGGAAAGGGAGCCUGUAAAAAGGCCUUCGUUCUGGGAUGAGCCCGCGUCCCAAUAGCUAGUUGGGGAGGUAAAAGCUUACCAAAGCAAUGACGGGUAGCUGGGCUGAGAAGACGGACAGCCCCCAUGGGACUGGAGCCACGGUCCGGCUCCCUCGGGAGGCCGCAGUGGGGGAUCUUUCGCCAUUGGCGACAGUCUGAAGCAGCCAAUCCGCGUGAGUGGAGGAGGGCUUCGGGUUGUUAAGCUCUGUCGAGUGGGGAGAAAAUGCUUGGAGUUAACAGCUCCAGGAACUGACGGUACCAGUAAAGGAAGCACCGGCUAACUCCGUG